UAAAUAAAGGAUUUAUUUUAAUUAUUAGUUACCUAAGUAUCUGGACAUCAACGUCCAUUCCAGUUGGUAUUUAGUCUAAAUCAUCUGAACCAUCCUAUAGUCCUUUAAUUAACAUAAAAUUUUACCUGGAAUGGAAGGUUGAAACUAGUCAUAUUGUUGCUACGCUCGCCCAAGCACAAGUUCAUUGCUAUAAUCUUGAUUUGGUGUACGAGCACACCUUUCGCUCACCACAAAUACUAUAACGAGUGAAAAACGAACAGGACACAACACAAUUGAUGUGAAAAUAAAUAUUCAAUUAACUACGACAACAACCAACAACUUUACCGUCCUGUCACUGUCAGACUUGAAACGUCAAGAGUAUCAAACCCAUGGGUAAAAAUAAAGCCGGACAUAAUUGAUAUUAUAAAAUCAUAGCUGGAAUUGUUUUCAUAAGUUCCAUUUAUCCAUUGGGCGUAAUUUCGGCACUCGAUGACAAUUCCUAUUUUUGGAAUCGGAAGAACAAGAGUACAUUCUCUCAAGAAAAUAAGUCCGCACCUAAAUGAAGCGCCGGAACUUCAUUGCGUUCAGUACAUCUUAGACUAAGGACGACGUGUCACGCGUGUAUCGAAAAUUAAAAAAAUAUAUUUAAGAAUUAAAAAAUGCCUUCCUGCGUGCUCAAAAGUUGUAGCAAUAAUACAAAAAAACAUAAUGCAAGCCACGGAAUAACAUUCCACAGGUUUCUUCGGCCUGGCCAUGAAAAAAGUGAAUAUUGGAUCCGAUUUGUGCAGAAGAAUCGUAACGAGGAAACUUGGCUACCCAAUCAGUAUACAUACAUAUGUUCGAUGCACUUUAGAGAACAAGACAAGUACAUUUCAAAAUCGGGACGAGUCUUUUUGAAAGAAUUUGCAGUACCAUACGAUCCUCAAAACGAUCCGACACCUGGACCUUCCCAGCAAGACGAACCAAUAGAUCCAUUAUGCAUCAGCGAUUCAGAUUCCAUUUUUGAUUCACCCCAAGAAAUUGCUUUAAAAAAAAGACUCCAAAAAGUAAUAAUUGCUAGAAAGAAUCUUGCUAAGAAAUAUAAGGCAUUAAAAGAUCAAAACAGAUAUUUAAAGAAGAAAUGUCUGUGUUAUAAAGAAAUAAUUAAAGUGUUCAAGCAAAAAUUUGACAAACAGAAGCAGAUUUAAUGGCGAAAGCUGAAUUGGUAGAGUUACAUAAAUCUUUUUGAAGAACCAACAUCAAUUCCUAUGUAUACUCGUACGUACAGCACUGCUGCUGCGUAAAUUUGCAUUGCAUUAGAGUCAAACCAAGAUAACUUGGCAGCGAUUUUGAUAGCCCCUUGUUCCAUCCUUAGAAAAUCAGAAAAAAAGUGUGCAUUUUUCAUUUUUCUUGAUUCUUGCCACAUAAUUAAAAUAGUUAAGUAAUAAGAAACACCUUUGGACGGACCCAAUCCAUAAACUGGCAAUUUCUGAUUAAAUUAAAUCUAUUACAAAUUACAACAGAGUGAGGGCUUUCGAUUUGCUAACAAAUUAACUCCACUCCACUUCAAUUGCUACCCAGUUAUUAAGCAUGAGUGUUGCAAAUGCAUGAACUCUCUGUAACGAAGUUCUAAAAAUCCACAAGAUUCCAUGAUUCUUCGGGGACGGAUGGAAAUCAAAACCCUGCUGAAUAAACCAAAAAAAUAUUAUCUACAGAUUUUUUUACUUAAAGACAAGACGUAAUCUGAAGCAACGAAAGCAAACACCAAGAAUAAUAAUUAACAUAGCAAAGAAAAAGUAAUGAAAUCUAUUAACAGUAAAAGAUUCCUUUGUUCUCUGAUUUGCACAGAAUCGUCGAAGACACUACAACCACAUACUCGUAAUAGAGAAACAAAAUGCUCCAGUAUAUAUCGAGUAUCGACAUAUAGAGUCAGUCAAGAUCAUGGAGUUAGUUUUUGGAAUCAUUUGAAAACAACCCUAAUGUCAUUCAAUUUAAGGCUGCUUAUAAAGUCACUAAACCAUUUA